UGCCUCUCAGGGUGGCACCUGGAGAGUUUCCAGUCCUCUACCAGUCUCGACUGCAGGAGGGAGAGUGAAGCCGAGGCCCACCCAUUCCAUUCCUAGCUUGGCCAGUGGCUAGUGAGUGGAAAACAGUCUGCUACAAGU